GCAUAGGUUUGGUUUUAUGGCAGGCCCAUCUUCCUGGAUCUCUUACAGUUCCUGUGUCAGAGCAGACUGGCUCCAAAUUAUUGCCUGGCCUCUGCACCUGGCACUGAAAUGGGAUGCACAGUU
rnacentral:snoRNA from 1 species